CUCUAGUUAUCUGAUAUACUUGGCUGUGGGAUGAUUUGGAGCAGAGGAAAUAUUACCUUGGUGUAUGAGAAUUAGGCUCAAAAUGCCAACAAGAACUGUUCUAUCUGCCAACAAGAGAGACAGAGGCUACCUAUGGCUAUGGGGAAAAUUCCUCAGAGGGACAGCCCCACACAUAGCUGAAACCAGGCUCCUUGGAGAAAUGGUUGAUUCCACAGUUGGGGCAGGAAAAAGUACAAGAUGGGUCUGGAACAUUCACGAAGCAAGAAAGUGUGCACAGAAUGAAGAGUAUAUGUUAAAGGAUAUAGAAAUUAUCUUGAAGAGGUUUCCACUGCCAAAUCUGAGACAGGGAAGUAUCAAAAUAAUAAUGA